GGAUGUUUGCAGGUGGUAACUGGGUGGAGCUGAGGGAUUUUAUGCUGCUGGCCUGAGGAAUAGUGUCAGCGCUUGUGUGUGAACUGGGAGGAAACAUGAAGAGGAUGAAAGGUCCAUACAGGAAAAGCCAGGUCCUUUAGGUUUCCAAAUGUCAAGUCAUCAGCUGCAAAUGUUGUUUGAAAAUGCUUGAAAAUGCAGUGUUUGAAAAUGUUGAAAAUGCAAGGUGGAGUCCGUUGGCAUCAAUCAGUCAUCGAGGAUGACCAGCUUGUUUUCUUGCUCUUCUUUCGUAUUCCUUCCCAGCAAAGCUCUGGAGGUGUCAUUAGGAGCAGUGAGCUCUUUGGAGAUGGUCUAACAGCUGCUGAGCAGGUCGGUUCUGCAUCAUUAAUUUGCUUCUCAGCUUCUCUCCCUGUCACAAACUGAGGGCAGUGAGCGGCUGCUCAGCAGAUAAAGUACCUACUGGGGGUCCUGGUACAACCCCAAGAAGCCCCGCACCAAGGCAGGAUGAUGCACCUCCAUAGAGGGACGGGCUCAGCAUCAUGUUGCCUGUUUGGAUGGAAACAUCUGGGUUGACUGACAAGCCAAGCACCCACCUCCUGACCCAGCAGCAGCUCUCCAGCAAUGAGACCUGCUUCUCACCAGCUGCUCGGUGGCACUGGGGCUGGAUGCAACAAGGCAGCAGUGCAAGGAGAGGAGGGAGGAGCGGCGCUGGUGGAUGUACCAGGCUCGUGUACCUGCUGCUGUUGGAAACCUACGACAUGCAGAAAAAAGAUGAUGGGAAAGUUCAGCGUGCCUCUAAUCUAUACAUGGCUGCCACAGCAUUGCCCCAUAGCCGUACAACAAAGAGGCAGCUGCAGAGAUUCCAGCUGGAAGCUGCACCUCCAGACCUGCCUGUGGCACAGGUGUGAGCCAGCCCUGGUGACAGCAGUGUGAUGGGACCACGUGCAAUGUGUUGGGGCAAUCAACUACUGCUCAGAUUUUCUGUGUCUUGCAAGCUUUGGAGAAGAUGAUGAGCAGAGGGUGCCCUCCACCAGAACAGCGAGCCCUGCAUCCUCUGGGUGUCCAUCUGUCCAUCUUGCAUAGCCCUGCGGUGCUAUUGCAGGGGAGGAGCAGACCAGGUGUCCCAGACAAGGUUUGCAAACCAGGACGUGACUGCACCCAGCCUGCGCCCGGCACGUGCAGCUGUUCAAUGUCUACGGUGUGGGAUUAAAAUAGCCAGCGUGCUCCUCGUGUCCCACAGCUCUCUGCUUUGCAAAGCUGGAGCCCUGCAGCAGCCUUCUCCCACAGCCUCACCGAGGGACACCCCUGGGCCAAGGGCACUGCAUGGUGAAGGCAUGCACUUGUUUGGGGCCUGCAGAGCUCCGGGCUGUGCCCUUGGGGACUGGCUGUUCGUGGGCUUAUUUCAGUUUUUGGAGACUGGAGUUAGCAGAGUUUCAUGGGAAAGCUUUAUACUUUUGCUGUACGUUUGGUUCAGUAUUUUCUAACGGUUCUAAAUCAGUUACUCAUUUAACCCAGGCUGAGUAAUGAGACUUUGAUAGGCUGAAAUUUUGGCCUCGGAGCAAUAAAGUCUUUCUAAAUACUGCAGAAGCCGAAAUAUUUAUUUUU
rnacentral:lncRNA from 7 species